rnacentral:lncRNA from 1 species
CACCUCCCUCCCACUUCUCUGGGCGCAGAGACAUCCGUCAAAUGCCCACAGCAAGUUCGUCAUGAAAUGCCUUCUGACAGGAAUGGCAGCUUGCAGCCCACAGCUAUGAAGGAUGUUAUGAAGAUCAGCGCGAGGACAGUACAUGGGGCAAAUGCUGAGGGCUUGCGGCCGUGUCUGUGCUGUUAUCUCUCAUUCUGUUGGAACACUCCUGGAACGAUAAUUUGCUCAUAACUAGAGCCACACUUUAUGGGAAAAUGAAAGGCAGCAGAACUAGAAGAAAUUUUCUAUGUCCCCUGACAGGCGAUUCCAGGCUGCAGUGGACUUCAAGAAGUAGCUGGGACCCCCAGGGACUACAAGCUGCAUUACCCAACUGUGCUUUGAAGAAGCGAAUUGUGUCCAAGAGCAUGCCCGUCACUGUGACCUGAAUAAUUCAUCCAAGUAACAGAAAACUUGCAACACCUGAAUAGGGAAGGAGCUGGCUCCUUGGUUUGUUGCCUUUAGAAAAUCAGUCCCAACGUUGUCCUAGACUGAGAAUUUCUAUUUCAGAAAUCCUUGGCAAAGAGCUGCAGCAGCAAAGACAAUAUCCAGG